AUCUGCAAUGUGAAACAAAAGUUUGGCAUCUCAAGUGAAAUGGUUCUUAUCGAAUAGGGAUAAAAGAUAAUGGUAUCUAGUAAAAGUAAGACAACCUUUCUUUCAAUAAUCAGACGAAGCAAUUCUGUUGGGCAUAUCGGCCAAGACAGUAAAAAGAGACAGGAAAAGCAGACACGGUUUCACUUCACCCUCUUAUUCAUAUGAUACAACCAUAGUAUGAGGCAAACAUAGAGAGAGAAAAAAACCAACAAAGUGCAAGACUCUUAGGUGCAUCUGUUUUCCAACAAAGUCCUAAAGCAGGCAUCUGUUUUCCAACAAAGUCCUAAAGCAGGCAUCUGUUUUCCAACAAAGUCCUAAAGCAGGAUAUGCUCCCUAAUUUGUGAAAGCUACAAAAAUAGGAAAGACAUUUGCAAGAUGGCAGCGCAAGUCACUCAGACAAAGAUAAGAAUAAUUUAAAUUUUAGCAUACUUGAAGUUGAAAAACAAACAUCUGUGGAUCAGGUGCAAAAACAAAUUUGAAGAAAUCUUCAAGCAUUCACAUUGCUUAUACAAGCAGUUAUAUGACUUACUUAU
rnacentral:lncRNA from 1 species